CCGGCGCCGGCCGCGCCCCGCCCCCUACCUGGAAGGGCUCUGGCUCCGUCCCCGGGGGCCACGCGCUCACAGGCACGUUCUCCAAGCCGCGCGCGACAUCCAGGCGCUCGCUCGGGGCCUCAGGCUCCUCCUCAGACGCUGCCAUCCCGCAUGGCAUGGCCACCGCUCCACAGCUUUCGCGGGCAUUUCGCGCCAUCUCGACGCGCCUGCCACCCUGGGGCACGCGGAGGAUGCUGGGAGCCGCGGUCCCGCAGCCCCGUCGCCUCAUGGGAGUCGUAGUUUUUCUCUCACCUUUCCCGAGUGGCCUGUGAGGGUGUCUCCUCCUCCCUCGACCCUCAGCCUCCCUUGCCUUUUGGUCUGGCUCGCUCUCUUGGGCCAGAUGCACAACAAAUAACACAAAGCUUUGGAAGAGACUCCCUAAUUAGCUCAGGCUCUGGCCCAGAGGACUGCAUGGCUGUAUUUAACCACCUGGGAAGUGGCACUGGAAAGAUGCUGGCUCAGCGAUUUUGAACCUUAGAAAGCUGGAGCAAAGAAUACUGAAUGUUCUUUACUCAGAAGGAGCAGGUGUUUGAACUUCUCUGUAACCACAUUUUCCACCAUCCUUAAAUUCCUCUUACAUCUGAUCAAGAGAAGCAGUGAAGCAGAGCUGCAUAAAGUUUAUCUCUCAGCCUGCUGCAGUGGGAGAAGCAACUCUGCCACCAAUUUGUUGUGGGACCCAGAGUACAUCACUUAGUAUCUUUGUACCCUGUUUCUUCAUUGACAGCCACAUCUUCUGGUGCAGGGCCAACCGCUUUCCCAAGAUGUGAUGGUGGAGGUGAGAGUAAAUGGAUUUGACUGUAUUGGGGUACCUGGUCCUCAGGGCUGCUUUUAACUCUAGCAAGUGGCCAUCAACGACUGUUUUCUUUGGCCUCAACUACAUGGUCUACAUGUUUUAGUGUGAUUCCACCCACAGCAAAUUCCAUGGCAUAGUCAAGGCUGAGAAUGGGAAACUUAUCAUCAUUGGAAAUCCCAUCUCCAUCUUUCGGGGGCAAGAUUCUGCCAACAUCAAAUGGAAUGAUGCUGGUGCUGAGUAUGUUGUGAAGUACACUGGAGUCUUUACCACAAUGAAGAAGGCUGGGGCUCACUUGAAGCAUGGGGCAAAGAGGGUCAUCAUCUCUGCCCCUUCUCCUGAUGCCCCCAUGUUUGUGAUGGAUGUGAACCAUAAGUAUGACAAUUCCCUUAAGAUUGUCAGCAGUGCCUCCUGCACCACCAACUGCUUGACCCCUCUGGCCUAGGUCAUCCAUGACAGCUUUGGCCUCAUGGAGGGACUCAGGACCACAGUGUCUGCCAUCACGGCCUCUCAGAACACCACGAGCAGCCCCUCUGGAAAGCUGUGAUAUGAUGGCUGAGGGGCUGCUCAGAACAUUAUCCUUGCUUCUACUGUGAGCGUCCAAGGCUGUGAAUAAGAUCUUCCCUGAGCUGAAUAGGAAGCUUACUGGCAUGGCCUUCCAUGUCCCCACCACUGAUGUGUCAGUUGUGAAUCCGACCUGCCACCUGGAGAAAGCUGCCAAAUAUGAUGACAUCAAGAAGAUGGUGAAGUAGGCAUCAGAGGGCCCCGUCAAGGGCAUCCUGGACUACACUAAGGACCAGGUUGUCUCCUGUAACUUUAACAGUGACACUCUUCUACCUUCGAUGAUGGGGCUGGCAUUGCUGUCAAUGACCACUUUGUCAAUGACCACUUUCCUGAUAUGACAAUGAAUUUGACUAUAGCAACAGGUGGUAGACCUUAUGAUCCACAUGGGCUCCAAGGAGUGAGAUACCCUCGACCACCAGCUCCAGCUAGAUCAAGAGAAAGAGAGAGGCCCUCACCUGCUGGGGAGUUCUCUUGCUGUAACUCAUCCUCCAACAUACUCCACAAUUUCCACCUAGUCCCCCUGAAGAAGGGGAGGGGUUUGAGGAACCUUACCUUAUCAUGUACCAUCAAUAAAGUAUACUGUACCCAGCCAAAAAAAAAAAAAAAAAAAAAAAGUCAAACAGAUACUGUCACUUCUAGCUGAAAAUCCUCCAUUAACUUUUCCUUUCAGUGAAAUAAAAUCCAAACUUCUUAUUGUGCCAGUCAAGGACCUACAUGAUAUAGCUGGUUCCUCUGUCAUUUUGUACCAGAUUCCCUCAAUUCCAUAGAUUUCUAUUUGUUUCUCAAACACACACAGUUUAUUUCUUUUUCAAGGCUGCUCCAAAAUGUGGCUUGCUUCUGAAUUCCCCUGUAUUCUCCAUUAGCUUCCCCCAAAGCCACUCUGAAUAAAUGUAAAAUCUAAGUGAAAAGAGAUGGCUUGCUAUACAAGUCCAGCCUCAGGAUGAGAAGUAAGUUCCCUGGGUUCUCCCAACCAAUCAAUUGCUGCCAUGAUGUUUAGUUUUUUUUCACUUUAAGCCUCUGUUAAAAUGUCAUCUCCUCAGAGAGGCCUUCUUUGAUCCAUUAUAGCACCCUCUUGGCUCUGUGAUAUCACUUCAUUUUAUUGAGUUUGGUUACACUCAAUAAAUUGCCUUGUUUAGUUAAUUAAUUUAAAUAAUAGUCUUUAUUUUUUUAGAGUAGUUUCAGAUUUAUAUGAAAUUGAGAUAAUACAGAGAGGCCCAUAUACCCCUUUUCCCUCCUAUCACCCAGUUUCUCUUACUGUUAGUGUUUUGCAUUAGUAUACAAGUUACAGUUCAACCAAUAUUGAUACAUUAGCUAAAUUUCUUAGUUUACAUUAGGGUUCACUGUUUGUCUUGUACAGCAAUAUAGGUUUUGAUAUAUAUGUAAUGUCAUAUAUCCACCAAUACAGUAUUAUACAGAAUAUUUUCACUGACCUAAAAAUCCUCUUUUCAUCCCUCCCUUCCUUAUUUUCCUCCAAACUCCUGGCAACAAGUGAUUUUUAAAAAAUUUCUCUAUAGUUUUGUCUUUUCCAGAAUAUCCCAUAGUUGGAGUCAUAGAAUAUGUAACCUUUGUGUUGUUUAUUUUAACUCACUUUUCUGGCUUUAGUAAAAUGCACCCUCCAGGGUAGCAGGAACCUUGUCUCUUUUGUGCGUUGCUCAUUUCUCAGUACUCCAAUCAUACUAGACACAUAGAAGACCCUCAACAAUUGGAAGUUGCUGAGUGAAUGAAUAACCACCUGUUGUCUGCAGCAGGUUCUUCAUUCCCUGAAAGCAGGUACUGUGACUUAUUUUCUGGUGUCCUCAGUGCUUAGCACAGAGUUGCACAGGGAGGGAAGUCAAUAAAAGUUCAUUGAGUAAUAUUAAAUAAAAUUUGACCUCUAUCAUUUAUUACCUGUGCAACCUUGGCAGGUCCCUUACCAAUCUCUUUGAACCUCAUUUAUAAUGCCCAUUUCUUAGGUUUGUUGUCAAGAUUAAAGGAGGUUGAUAGAUAAUCAUACAAAUGUAUGGAAUUGCUAUUGCUAUCAUUGGUCACUGAUCUGCUAAACAUGCCAACAAGGUUUAUAUCAGUGAAUUCCUCAGUAAUGCCAAAGCUACUCCUUACUGGCCUUCACAGGCUUGAAAUGUCUCAUACGGUAAAUUCUCAAGAGGCUGAAAAGAUGUUAUAAUAACUCUUUUGCUUCUGUAUUGUUUAUAGUAACACAGGCCUACUUGGUAACUUGGAGCUACCUACAGAUACAAUGCUGUUGCCAACACACAGUUCUUAUUUCUCCCAUGUCCCCCUACUGUUUCCAUUAGCCAUGUAAUAUAGUUUUCACCAGCUAAUGAUUAGCAACCAACUGUUUCUGUGUUAAUGCUUGUGUUCAGUUCAUUAAAAACAAAAACAAAAACAAAACAAAACACAACUCCCAAUAAGGAUUCAGUUCAUUUAAAACUGUUUAAAGUUCAAAGAAUACUUGUUUCUUAUUUUUUUUUUUUUAAGUGACUAUUCAACUCAGGGACUCUAUUUAAGAUGGGACUAAGAAUCCUUACAGAUAUCGAUGGUUAUUUGAAAAAGUUAAAUUGGAGUGCAAUUCACUGAUGUUGUUAAGCACAACAGCUACUGGAGCUAUAUUUAAACAUGCAUUCCAAAGUGAAGGGUGAGGAAAAUUGAUUUUGCAGAUGCUCAGAUGAAAGCAGUCACUUUAUAUUAGGCAGAAAAAGGCAGUUUGAGAUAAUCUCAGUUUGAGGAAAGCCUGAUUUUAGACCAGCCAAAGAAUAGGAGCACAGUGGGAGGGCAGGAAGUGUGGAAGGUGUUAUCACUGAUCCGUAGUAUAGAGGAUUAGGGAGAGCGUGGGGAGAUACUGUUAAACCAGGUAUGUUAGGAUCAUUUAUUUUUAGUUUUCUUCCCCACUUUAGUUCUUAGACAUCCUGAGUCUUUAAUCCAAGCCUCCUGCUCUCUUGCUCCACUGUGUGUAUUUUAACCUUUUCCAUCACUUGCCUCAUCACAACACAUGUAUUCUCUCACCUAUUCCAUCAGCAGUCUGUUAAUUAAGCCGAGACCCUAUUUAGUGGGUACUAAAUGAGCUAAGCAUGAGCUCAUUCAGGUAAUAUGUUUGCAAAUUUGUUAGGAAUUCUCUGGGACUAUCAUUUCUGACCCCAAGAUGAUGAUAAAUUCUGCUUUGGAUUUUGGGCAUUUUAAGAUACUUAUCUUUUCAAAAUUUCCCUGAAAUCACUUCCCAUAGACAUCCACCGACUCUGCCCAAAUAGACAAAGUUAGCCUUGAGCGUGAACAGUGGGCAGUUAGAUGUGGGUGGAGAAUCAGAAAAGUGUAGAAAAAAUGUGCUGGGGUGGAGUAUUCAGGUUUCUUCCUUUCCUAAUUUCAGCUCUUCCAAAUUGCCUUUCCUGCUUGUGUCCUGAAACCAGGGAUGCAAAUAUACUAUAAAGCCCAGCUUAUAACACGCAGAGAUUAUUACUAAUGGAGUAAUAUUUUUAGAUUUGAUUGUACAAAUAGUUUACCCACUUCUCCUAUUUUAUGAUUUAACAGACUGAUUUGACCAAAUUGUUUAUGUGUAUUAAGUUCAUAGAAUAUAUCAGAUCACACCACUGAAUUGUUGCUUUUGCAGGUCAAAAUGAUGAAAUAUUGGUAAUUUUAUA